rnacentral:rRNA from 1 species
AUUGAACGCUGGCGGCAGGCCUAACACAUGCAAGUCGAGCGAGCGGCGGACGGGUGAGUACUGUCUGGGAAACUGCCUGAUGGGGGGGGAUAACUACUGGAAACGGUAGCUAAUACCGCAUACCAUCAGAUGUGGCCCGAUGGGAUUAGCUAGUGGGUGGGGUAAUGGCUCAACUAGGCGACGAGCCCUAGCUGGUCUGAGAGGAUGACCAGCCACACUGGAACUGAGACACGGCCCAGACGCCUACGGGAGGCAGCAGUGGGGAAUAUUGCACAAUGGGCGCAAGCCUGAUGCAGCCAUGCCGCGUGUGUGAAGAAGGCCUUCGGGUUGUAAAGCACUUUCAGCGGGGAGGCGUUACCCGCAGAAGAAGCACCGGCUAACUCCGUGCCAGCAGCCGCGGUAAUUC